rnacentral:rRNA from 2 species
GCAAUAGCUCAAAUUUGAAAUCUGGAGCCUUUGGCUUCCGAGUUGUAAUUUGCAGAGGGAGCCUCGGAGGGCGAGACGGUCCAAGUGCCUUGGAACAGGAUACCGCAGAGGGUGAGAGUCCCGUAUCCGGCCGAUCUUGCGCUCCGUGUGAGGCCCCUUCGACGAGUCGAGUUGUUUGGGAAUGCAGCUCCAAGCGGGUGGUAAAUUCCAUCUAAAGCUAAAUACUGGCCAGAGACCGAUAGCGAACAAGUAGAGUGAUCGAAAGAUGAAAAGCACUUUGAAAAGAGAGUCAAACAGUACGUGAAAUUGUUGAAAGGGAAGCGCAUGGGGGCAGACUUGGACGCGGGGUUCAGCGUUUCUAUUGGAGCGUGUACUUCCCCGCGUGCAGGCCAGCAUCGGUUCCGGGGGCCGGACAAAGACGUUGGGAAUGUGGCUCCCCUCGGGGAGUGUUAUAGCCCGGCGUGCAAUGCGGCCACCUGGGACCGAGGACCGCGCCUUGUGCAAGGAUGCUGGCGUAAUGGCCUCAUGCGGCCCGUCUUGAAACACGGACCAAGGAGUCUAACAUCUAUGCGAGUGUUUGGGUGGCAAGCCCGGACGCGCAAUGAAAGUGAACGGAGGUGGGAGUCUGUUACAGGACGCACCAUCGACCGAUCCGGACGUCUUCUGAAGGAUUUGAGUAAGAGCAUAGCUGUUGGGACCCGAAAGAUGGUGAACUAUGCGUGAAUAGGGUGAAGCCAGAGGAAACUCUGGUGGAGGCUCGCAGCGGUUCUGACGUGCAAAUUCG